AACGAACGCUGGCGGCAUGCCUAACACAUGCAAGUCGAACGAGACCUUCGGGUCUAGUGGCGCACGGGUGCGUAACGCGUGGGAACCUGCCCUUAGGUUCGGAAUAACUCCCCGAAAGGGGUGCUAAUACCGGAUAAUGUCUUCGGACCAAAGAUUUACCGCCUUUGGAUGGGCCCGCGUUGGAUUAGCUAGUUGGUAGGGUAAAAGCCUACCAAGGCGACGAUCCAUAGCUGGUCUGAGAGGAUGAUCAGCCACACUGGGACUGAGACACGGCCCAGACUCCUACGGGAGGCAGCAGUGGGGAAUAUUGGACAAUGGGCGAAAGCCUGAUCCAGCAAUGCCGCGUGAGUGAUGAAGGCCUUAGGGUUGUAAAGCUCUUUUACCCGGGAUGAUAAUGACAGUACCGGGAGAAUAAGCUCCGGCUAACUCCGU
rnacentral:rRNA from 1 species